UAUCUGUUUAGUUUUGUUUAGUUUUGGUUUCUAUAGAGUAUUUGAUUUAUUUGAAGAUGUUGCCUAAAAAAGUUGUUAUCUUAUAGUGAAAAGUGAAGGAAAAGAAAAUGAAGCGUUAGUAAAAUCAUAACAAGAAACUAAAAAAGUUUAUGAUGUAUUAUGUAAGGGCCCAUUUUUUCGAACUAUGCCUAAGGCCCCUUAAACACUAGGAACGGCCCUGUU
rnacentral:lncRNA from 1 species